CUUCUAUAUAUAUCAAGAGCUUGAUUCACAGACCACUAAAGUUAAUGGGAAUCUUUCCUUUGACUUUAACCAGCUACUGGUCCUGCUAUUACAAAAGAAGAGUUAAUACAGCUUUGCGCUUACUCAGUGUCUCAAGAUUAGAAAAUUACAAGGUUGAACACAUCAAAGGAAAUUGCCUGAAUGGGAAUCGUUGCUGCUGGUUAACUUCAUUGGAAAUACAGUCAACUGAAGUUUCAUGACUGUCAUCUUACAUAAGGCCUUCUAAUGCUUCCAUGCAGGAAGAAAUCUUCAAGGCAUUAGCAAGAAUGUGGCUGAAUACCUAGUGACACAGGGUCUUCAAAACCAACAGAGCUCCACUGUGGUGCUCCAGCAAGAUGUCUGUAACACUUCAUGGUCCUGGGAAAUACAGGGGGCCAUUGGAUGUCGAAUGACUUGUGAAGUGACCCGAUCUUCUGACAGCAGGCCUCGUGAGCACUGAGAUUUGUCAGCGUAUCAGUUCUGUGAUAGGAACUGACAGGUGGAAUAAACAUCUCAUCCGUAAAAGCAAAAUAAUACAGCAUUUUAAAAUUCAGUAUGUUCAGGAGUCAGCAACCACGCAUCCCAGGACAGAAGAAGCAGCAGACCACUGGCUUUGGCGCUGGGAACACAUAACUGAAUGCCUCUAGCAGCCUAUGGACUAGGAUGGAGAAGAUCAUGACCACUAACAGAGACCUAGCCUCAAGUGUUGAGCACAGAGCCACAUACUUUAUUGUCACAAAGAGCAAACACUUGGGAUGUCUCUACACUAACACUAGCACAGACUUGGAGUUUGUUUCUGAAGUGAGUCUCCCUGUGGUUCCCCUUCCUGUGCUCUGGUUCACAUCGUGGAGCACAUGGACUCCAUUCCUUUUAGAUUCAUGCAAACAGUGAGGUUUGUUCCAGCUCCAGGAGUGAACCUAACUUACAUGCAGCCAGUGGGACUCGAAUACAUCUGGCCCAGAGUAAAAUCCCUAAAGCACUGGAAGCACGGACCUUGGAACCUCGGCUCCAACAGUUUUGCUGGACAAAUCUGCUCCUUUCAGGAGUCAGCACUUACUAGUGGCGGCACGGCUUUAGGGCAUUUCUCCACAGCACUGCAGCGACCAGACCAGCGAUUGCAGGGGAGCACCGUGGAGCUGAGCUGAAGACUGACUCCCUCCACCCUGUUGCCUUGCAGAUCAUUUUCCAUCAGAUAGGUAGGAAGCCAAAGUCCCAGCCCUGAAGAUUUUCUAAUUGAGACCUGAAGUUGUUGGCAGAGCAUCUGAGGCCAUUACGGAGAGCAAACCAGCUGCCCGGCUUCAUUCUCAACGCACCCAGCUUCAAAUGGACAGGGAGCGAGUAGCGACAGCUCUCCAUGUGGCUACCACAGGUGGUAAGCGGCGUACUGAAUGGUGUGCAUUUUUCUGACCGUGGGUCCUUGAAUAAAGAAGUGGCUCUUACAAGAAGUGCUUUUGCGCUGUGUCAGAGCACAGGAUGGGUUUCACCAACUGGAGCAAGUGCCAUCCACACACACGCGAUACGAAACUUUACGUGCCAUCUUUUAUCCCUCCCUGGGUGUAAGUCUGCAACGUGUGGCAGCUGUGGGAUGAGGAUGCUCGGCAGUUCACGAAACCAGGCCCUCAGCAAAAGGCGAAUGUAAUGUUCCAACAGGCACGAGUUACAACUGCACAAGGUGAAGGUGGUGAUUAAACUGUUACAAAUACGCUUUGGGGUUCUGAUGUUGCAAUCCUAGGCUGCUUCUCUGUUAUUUUUGUGACUCAUUUCUUCACAAAGUACCUCUGAUAGUCCCGUCGUUUAUUGUUAAUGUUUCCAUGCCGAUCCUUUAUGUAUUAUUUUCAUUUAACAAUCCUUGGCCAAGGGAAGAAUUCUGCUUUUAGUGGCAGAGGAUUAAGCACUGACCGGUGCAGCGGUGAGUGGUUGCCCCGCCUCCCCUCCUCCCCCACCAAAUUUUGCCUUGCGGCGGGCACUCAGCAGACACCAGCAACGGCGCUCAUCUCACCUGACGUGGACGGAGACAGACAUUUAGCUACGCAUCAGCUGCUCACUCACGUUCUCCUCGUAGCUGAUGGGACGAAACAGACACCUGUAGGCUGUGGUUCAUCUUACCCAUCUCGGACAUUUAGUGGAAUGUGAAUUGAGACCCAACGGUGCCUCACGCCACAGCGACUAGUUCGGAUACUGUUGUUCACCCUGCGCGUAUCUACCUUUGCUCAGCUGAAGCCCGUGCCUUGAUACUCUUCUUAAUAUGACCUUCAGUCCAAGAUAACUGCACUUCAAGGCGUUUUUGGGAUUUAUACAAACUUUUCAAGCCUUUUCCCCGCUUGUCUUGAAGGUGCUUUGAUAAAUGGGCACAUUACAGGAUUUCAAAAAAAUAACUGAAGUCACCUGACAAAGCAAUGUUCGGCACACACUAAACUGUCCCUCUGGCUUUCACUUACAGUAAUAUUUCGGUGUCAGGAGGAAGCGGUUGUCCACAGUCGGGAUCUGGUGAGGCGUUUACAAUCUUCUGCAUGGACUCGUUCAUGACAAAAGAGACUGUUUUGGAGAUAAAAUGUCGUCACGCUACGAGCUGGAACCAAGUUGUUUUGUUACGAGUUAAGAGGUUCAGUGACAUAGUUGGUCGUCCUGCCUUAAGUAGUCUGGGCUUCCUUUAAAAAUUAAAAUGUGAAAGUAUUUUCUUCAAUACUGUCUGACUAAGAAGCCACAGAGCCUCUUAUAUUGAAUCCUGUCCUUUGAAUUGCUUUUUUUAAAAAACCUUAUUUAUCUGCAAUUUCAGUCAGUGUUUUUAGAGCAAAUUGCCUCACGGUUCUGAAAACUGGCUGAGCAAGACGGCGCUCAGCGGGGCUGGCGUUAUCGGGUCUCUGUUUAGCAAGACGCCACUUAAUUUCGCUAACCGGGCUGACCCAAACCUCAGCUCAGUGAGGAUCCAAAUCCAAAUUUUGCAAAUUGAAACUUUUAUCACCAAUGAACUAAAUCUCUCAUUGUGACUAUGGAAAAUCUAGCUUUGAAUCAGAAUUUUGUAGUCUGGCUUUCCCUCUGCUUCCUGUCUGAGAGCAUCGUUACAGCAACUACUUGCACGAGUUCCUAUCUAAUUGAAACGCUAGUGGCAUGCAUAUGUGCUAAAUGAAGGAAUGUAAUAAAAAUUUAUGAGUUAGUUACACUUUGAAGCAAUAAAGUGUUAAAGAGUUAAAAAGAA